GACGAACGCUGGCGGCGUGCUUAACACAUGCAAGUCGAACGGAAAGGCCCUGCUUUUGUGGGGUGCUCGAGUGGCGAACGGGUGAGUAACACGUGAGUAACCUGCCCUUGACUUUGGGAUAACUUCAGGAAACUGGGGCUAAUACCGGAUAGGAGCUCCUGCUGCAUGGUGGGGGUUGGAAAGUUUCGGCGGUUGGGGAUGGACUCGCGGCUUAUCAGCUUGUUGGUGGGGUAGUGGCUUACCAAGGCUUUGACGGGUAGCCGGCCUGAGAGGGUGACCGGCCACAUUGGGACUGAGAUACGGCCCAGAAUCCUACGGGAGGCAGCAGUGGGGAAUAUUGCACAGUGGGCGGAAGCCUGAUGCAGCGACGCCGCGUGCGGGAUGACGGCCUUCGGGUUGUAAACCGCUUUCGCCUGUGACGAAGCGUGAGUGACGGUAAUGGGUAAAGAAGCACCGGCUAACUACGUG
rnacentral:rRNA from 1 species